GACGAACGCUGGCGGCGUGCCUAAUACAUGCAAGUAGAACGCUGAAGAGAGGAGCUUGCUCUUCUUGGAUGAGUUGCGAACGGGUGAGUAACGCGUAGGUAACCUGCCUUGUAGCGGGGGAUAACUAUUGGAAACGAUAGCUAAUACCGCAUAACAAUGGAUGACACAUGUCAUUUAUUUGAAAGGGGCAAUUGCUCCACUACAAGAUGGACCUGCGUUGUAUUAGCUAGUAGGUGAGGUAAUGGCUCACCUAGGCGACGAUACAUAGCCGACCUGAGAGGGUGAUCGGCCACACUGGGACUGAGACACAGCCCAGACUCCUACGGGAGGCAGCAGUAGGGAAUCUUCGGCAAUGGGGGCAACCCUGACCGAGCAACGCCGCGUGAGUGAAGAAGGUUUUCGGAUCGCAAAGCUCUGUUGUAAGUCAAGAACGGGUGUGAGAGUGGAAAGUUCACACUGUGACGGUAGCUUACCAGAAAGGGACGGCUAACUACGUG
rnacentral:rRNA from 1 species